rnacentral:rRNA from 1 species
AUUGAACGCUGGCGGCAGGCCUAACACAUGCAAGUCGAACGAGUGGCGGACGGGUGAGUAAUGUCUGGGGAACUGCCCGAUGGAGGGGGAUAACUACUGGAAACGGUAGCUAAUACCGCAUACCAUCGGAUGUGCCCAGAUGGGAUUAGCUAGUUGGUGGGGUACAGGCUCACCUAGGCGACGAUCCCUAGCUGGUCUGAGAGGAUGACCAGCCACACUGAAACGGAGCCACGGUCCAGACUCCUACGGGAGGCAGCAGUGGGGAAUAUUGCACAAUGGGCGCAAGCCUGAUGCAGCCAUGCCGCGUGUAUGAAGAAGGCCGUCGGGUGGUAAAGUACUUUCAGUGAGGAGGCGUUACUGGCAGAAGAAGCACCGGCUAACUCCGUGCCAGCAGCCGCGGUAAUUC